rnacentral:rRNA from 1 species
GACGAACGCUGGCGGCGUGCUUAACACAUGCAAGUCGAACGGAAAGGCCCUGCUUGCCGGGUACUCGAGUGGCGAACGGGUGAGUAACACGUGGGUGCUCUGCCCUGCACUUCGGGAUAAGCCUGGGAAACUGGGUCUAUUACCGGAUAGGAGCCAUUUUUAGUGUGAUGGUUGGAAAGUUUUUUCGGUGUAGGAUGAGUUCGCGGCCGUUCAGCUUGCUGGUGGGGUAAUGGCCUACCCAGGCGGCGGCGGGGAGCCGGCCUGGGAGGGUGGACGGCCACAUUGGGACUGGAGUACGGGCCCGACUCCUUCGGGAGGCAGCAGGGGGGAAUAUUGGACAAUGGGGGGAAGCCUGAUGCAACGACGGCGGGGGGAGGAUGACGGCCUUCGGGUUGGAAACCCCUUUCGCUAGGGACGAAGCUUUUUGUGACGGUACCUAGAUAAGAAGCACCGGCUAACUACGUG